CUGCUUGCAUCAGGAGCACAUGCACUGAAAUUGGAACUACACAGAGAGGACCAGCACGGCCUCUGUGCAAGGAUGCGAGCUCAUGAAGCACUCCAUAGUCUU